rnacentral:sRNA from 1 species
GCCAGGCAUGGUGGCUCAUUCCUGUAAUCCCAGCGGCUGGGGAGGCUGUGGCAGAAGGAUCUUGAGUUCAAAGCCAGCCUCAGCAAAAGUGAGGUGCUAAGCAACACAGUGAGACUCUGUCUCUA